UGGGGAAUAUUGCACAAUGGGCGCAAGCCUGAUGCAGCCAUGCCGCGUGUAUGAAGAAUGCCUUCGGGUUGUAAAGUACUUUCAGCGGGGAGGAAGGGAGUAAAGUUAAUACCUUUGCUCAUUGACGUUACCCGCAGAAGAAGCACCGGCUAACUCCGUGCCAGCAGCCGCGGUAAUACGGAGGGUGCAAGCGUUAAUCGGAAUUACUGGGCGUAAAGCGCACGCAGGCGGUUUGUUAAGUCAGAUGUGAAAUCCUCGGGCUCAACCUGGGAACUGCAUCUGAUACUGGCAAGCUUGAGUCUCGUAGAGGGGGGUAGAAUUCCAGGUGUAGCGGUGAAAGGCGUAGAGAUCUGGAGGAAUACCGGUGGCGAAGGCGGCCCCCUGGACGAAGACUGACGCUCAGGUGCGAAAGCGUGGGGAGCAAACAGG
rnacentral:rRNA from 1 species